GACAUUUCUCAGUCCAUCUUAAACAGACGAGAACUGGUAAACAACCUCCUCCUCCUCCUUCUGACAGAGCGUUCCCUUGGAAAUUGGAGUGUCCCAUUUGGAUAUCAGCUUCCUUCCAUUUGUUUCAGCGGAAUUCAGCUCCGCCGUAAGGAAUGUAUUCACAUUGAGAAAUGGGGGGAAAAGCAGUAAACCUGGUGUUAGAUUAAAGCACCGACAUAUCCUAAAACACAUGGGAAGCAGAGACCAUUUCCUAUUGCAGUGGGGCCAUGGGUCGUACAAGUGACGUGAUUGAGUGGCAAAAGGGAACCAUUGUUUUUGGCCGAGAGCAUGGCGAUAGCCUGGAGGAGGUGGCGGUGUUUGUUGGUAUGCCCUCGAAGACAGUGAACAGUAUCCACCUACAGUGGAAGAAGCAUGGACACCAAGGAUCUCAGUGGCGGAACAGUGGCCAAAAGUCGUCAAAUGGUCUGAUGGAUACAGAUUUUGCUUAUAUUCCAAUGACGGCCGCUCCAGAGUUAUGAGGAGGGCUGGGGAAGCGUUUCAACCAGACUGUGUCCAACGAGCUGUACACCAAGGAGUGGAAGUGUCAUGUUUUGGGGGUGUUUUUCGAAUGCUGGAGCUGGCCUCUUGGUCAAGGUGUCCAAUUGCAUGAAAGCGGUGGACUAUGUGACAUUGUUGGAUCAUGCGGUUUUGCUACUUGUCCAGUUUCUGAAAGACAAAGACCAUCUCGUGGAUCCACUGUUUCAGGAUCAUAAUUGUACUGUCCAUCUGACUAGGAUUGUGCAGGAUUGGUUUGCAAGGCACCAGACUGACGUGCAACAUCUCACGUGGCCCUCCUAUUUGCCAGAUCUCACAGUUAUUGAGAACAUUUCAGAGAUGUUAGAGCGGGCUGUGAAGAAAAAACACAAACACCCUCCAAAUUUGGCUGCAUUGAACAACCACUUGGUGAUGGAAUGGGAGCAAUGCGAUAUGAAUGUAAUCUAGAGUCAUAUUGAAAAUCUGAGCUGACAUUAAAGCAUGUGGUGAUGUAACGUCACAUGAAUGUCUAA